UAAAUACUCCUUCCUUUCGGAAUUACUUGUAAAAUGGAUGUAUCUAGAUGUAUCUUAGUUUUAGAUACAUCCAUUUUUUUUUCAUUUCUGCGACAAGUAAUUCGGGACGGACGGAGGGAGUAUAAU
rnacentral:pre_miRNA from 1 species